CCUCAUGAACGUCAACAUCUCCUAGCCUAAAUUCAGCCACUGAGUACUUCAUCAGCGUUGCUGCUGUUGUUGUUCGGCCUGACAGUGUCACUGGUGGAGAAACGAUCCUUCAAAGUGACCCUACAGCUUUACUAGUCAGAACAGGUAGGAUGGACUCUGUUGUGUUGCUCCAGGCUUCCUCCAUUAUGAUGUAUUUGAUCUUCAGCAAUUUAACUUGGUUUUUACGGAUUCUCAUGAGCAGGACAAAGUGGUCACUGUCAAAACGUUGCUCAAGCUCAUGUGUCUGGCUCCUCCUCUGGGGAUUCUGUAUUAUAUCCUGAAAAAAAAUGAUGAUGAUGAUGAUGAUGAUGAUUUUGAGUCAGAUCAUGAUGUCCGAUCAGUGGAGAUCUCAACUGAGGAGACAAUUAUUGAUGUGAUCCCUGUGAAAACCAGAGGGAUUGGCUAAAGAAAGGGGGGAAAUGUAUUCUAUACCUCUACACACUUUAGUAACCUUGUUCAUGAUGGCAUGAUUUGUUUACAAAUGUAAACAUGAAAUAUUCUCAACAAGGUGAAUAUAUAACUGAUAGAAAAAGGUAAGUUUUGUAACCAGGAAAACAGGGCUAAUGAAAAAUUACAGAAGUGAACACAACUGGUCGGUUUGAGGAAAACAAGCCUUUGAGAAACUGAUCAGGUGGUCACCUUACCUGGUUAGUGACGAGAACACAGACAUGAAAAUGAUCCAUGUGUCCCUGUAGAUCAUUUACUUCACUGCUUUGUUCUCCUCCAUAUUAGCAUAAAGUAUCACAGCAUUUCCACUGACAUGGUACAGGUGCUGUAAUCGCACCCAUUUCUGCUGAGCUGACUACCUUGUCUGAGUCCGCUUUCACACUAAUAUUGUUGAUCUGUUCCUGAGGACAAUUGUUUAUCUACACACCCAGAUUAAGUAGGUGGUAUGUACCUAGUUGGUUUACAAUCCACAAAUAAACACAAAGAAAAAGAGUACACUGAAUUACACAUUCUAAACAGUAGUACGCUUCUCUGUUUUAGUACUGUUGUUUUCACACUUAAAGUGAAGUGUACCAGACAGACAGAUAGCUAGACCAGAAGAUAUGGCAAGUGAGUAGUCAUAUCAGGUGACCCACAAUAUCCAAAAUAACGAUACACUACUCCACUGAGCAGUGAAGUGUAGCUGUACACACAGUACAUGGCCUAUGAUGGUGUGUAUUUCCUGUUAAAAGGAAGAGUAGUCCCUCAAUUUCUGAGGUAUUUUUGUGUCAUAUUUACCAUAAUCUUAUCAUCUCGUCCACUAAAACUGACAGCCUACCUGCAUCACUUUAUUGUUUAGUCAUUUUUGAGAUAAUGGAUCAUACCAUCACUUUUAUAGCUUCAUCAUAACAUGUUAGCACAACUGAUAUACAGUGGACACAUGGAUGACUGUAGUGUCGACAAAGACAGUUCCCUUAAAGCUAGGAAACACAGUGUAAUCUGUUUUCAUGAGGCCCUCUUUCUUUCCAGAUUAAGUUAAGUUUUAGAUUAGUACUGUAAAUUAAACGUACAUAGUUAAAUCUUCUCUUGAUGUGGUUUCAUUAUUAAACUGUAGGUUGCAUAAGUUUGAACUAGCCUUUCUGCAACCUCUGAAAAUGAAAAUUUUGACACAUAAAAUGAUAAAUGAAACCUCACGCAGGGAUUAUCCAGUUAGUUAGUUAGUUAUCUUAUUUCAAAAGGCCAAAGGUCGUUAUUAAAUGUGAAAUGGUCCAGUGUUAAUUAAGAAAGUUAACCUUUAUCUGGUGUCUCUGGCCAGAUGUUAUAAUGGACCCUAAAAAUUGAUCUAAAGCCUUAACUAUUUUUUAUUUUUUAUUUAUUUUAUUUUAUUUCAAAUCAAGACUUAAAAGGAAACCUUAAUGUGAACUUGACGGCACAUUCUGAAAGUAUUAGUCAUAUCAUGAAGAUAUCACUUUAUCCAAAAGUAUUAGGCAUUAUUUUUAUUUUGCACUUUUAUGUUUUGUUUGUUAGUUUUUUUGUUUGUUUUGUUGUUUUCUAUUAAUGCAUGCUGACUAAAUCAGAUAAAAUUCUAUACAUUUUUUAAAAUGUCAUUUUUAGGAGACAGUGUCAACAGGUCAUACCUAAUGUGUCAAAUGUAGUCAGUCCUUUGGGGGUGUUAGAUUUAUUUGGAUGUUUUGGACCCAAAGCAAAAAAAAUUUACAUUUCGAAGCAGUAAAACAACAUUUACUCUUUUUUGAAAUGAAAUACAGUUUUGAAAAAUAACCUACGCCUACAUCACAGUAGGCAAUAAACACAUAAAGUAUUCUGACCACAAAUCUUGCCAUUCUCAUGUGCCUCUCAUGUGGCUUUUAGAUUACUUUUUUUUUUAAAUCUGUGGUGCACUCAGGAGAUUGUAUGACAUCCUGUUCAGGGUGUUGAAUGUCACCUUAUUCUGCCUUUGUAAUGCGACAUUCAUUAUAAUGCUGUUUGUUAACUAUUUCCAAGUUAUACUUGUCAUGAAAGUAUGAUGGAAAACCAGCAAGUGUAUAACUGUGAUUUCUAAUAAUAUAAUUUAUUUAGUUAUUGCCAGCCGGAUCAGGAUAAGCAUUAUAAGGGGAGGAUAGAUUAACAGAGUUAAAAUGAUUCAUUAAGGCUAAUUCAAGUUUUUUACAAUUCCGUUUUCUAAAAUUGAUACUUUCCCUUAAUGAGCUUCCUUGCCACUGUAGCUCACAGUAGUGACAGUGAAUAUCAAAGGAUAGCACAUUCUUUUACAUGCUUUGUUUUUUGUUUUUUUUGUUUUUUUAAGUUCAAUGCUUUCUAAGACCUGCACAUAACCACACUGUAAGCAACUUGUUGCUGUCUUCGUUGGCUGCUCAUGUAAUAAGAGAAAUGUAAUAAAUGAAUACAGUA